rnacentral:lncRNA from 1 species
GGUGUGCUCAGCUGGCCUUCUCUUGCCACCUGUGAGCAGCACUCACUCCUGGCCGUUCUUAUCAUUGGUACCCAUUGCUGCUCCCCCUAUAAUGAGUGAAACCAGCCCGAGGUAUCAGAUUAUUUCAUUUCUAGAUACCAAAGAAAGUGACCACUUCUCAAAAUGGUCUGCCAUGAUUGUCCUCCUGACAUUUAAAAUGUGCCUUGAAUUUCUGGGAAGAAAAGGACCCCACGCAAGCCAAAAGACUGUGCUGGUAUUAGCAAUAGUUACAGUACAUAUUCAAAGCAAACACACGCUCCACAAAUACGUCUUUUUAUAGCCACUCUUCCUGAAACACAAUUAAAAUUAGAUGAUGUGAGUUAAGAGAGAGGAACAAAGGACAUUAAAAUGACAUUAAAAGAAGAAAAGAAGAAAGAUUGAAACUCUCGAAGGAAAUGGACAGAUGGGAAAUGUCAGCAGCUUUUUGGAAGGAUGAUAAAAACCAGCCACUGUGCGGUGACUGGGCGGGCUUCUCUCUGCUCUCUCCCCCUGCUCGGGGCUGAGGGAGAAGCUUGGUAUCCAGAGGAAACUGACUGGCUCGACUCGGUCUUACAAAGGCACUGGAAUUAGUCAGCAGCUGGCUGAAGGGAGAGUAAACACUAAAAGAUUGGUUUAC